GACGAACGCUGGCGGCGUGCCUAAUACAUGCAAGUAGAACGCUGAAGAGAGGAGCUUGCUCUUCUUGGAUGAGUUGCGAACGGGUGAGUAACGCGUAGGUAACCUGCCUUGUAGCGGGGGAUAACUAUUGGAAACGAUAGCUAAUACCGCAUAACAAUGGAUGACACAUGUCAUUUAUUUGAAAGGGGCAAUUGCUCCACUACAAGAUGGACCUGCGUUGUAUUAGCUAGUAGGUGAGGUAAUGGCUCACCUAGGCGACGAUACAUAGCCGACCUGAGAGGGUGAUCGGCUACACUGGGACUGAGACACGGCCCAGACUCCUACGGGAGGCAGCAGUAGGGAAUCUUCGGCAAUGGGGGCAACCCUGACCGAGCAACGCCGCGUGAGUGAAGAAGGUUUUCGGAUCGUAAAGCUCUGUUGUAAGUCAAGAACGGGUGUGAGAGUGGAAAGUUCACACUGUGACGGUAGCUUACCAGAAAGGGACGGCUAACUACGUG
rnacentral:rRNA from 1 species